AUAUUUAUAGCUUACUACAGAGCGCUUUACUGAAGAUAAAGAAGUCUAAAAAAU
rnacentral:tRNA from 1 species